AUGUCGACAUCCAAAAUGUUUAAAGGCUGCUUUGUUUCUUUGCUGGAGCAAGAGAACAGAACGCCUGAUUUGAGAGCAGCAGGACAUUGCAAUGAGGCCACUGCAGGGACUGACGCAGGAGCACUGUUCGUCUCAAUGGCUUAUGUGACCUCAAUUUUACUUUUUUUGUGUGUUUUGGUUUUUAUUUUUUUUAUUUUUGGCUGCACUCGCAGCAUGUGGAAGUUCCCGGGCCAGGAAUCAAAGCCACACCACAGCAGUGACCUGAGCUGCUGCAGUGACAAUGCCGGAUCCUCAGCCCACUUGCAAGUGGCUCCAGUUUUAGACAGGCCCCCAAACUACCCGGUCUUCCAGAUCUUCCUCGUCGGUUCCCAAUUUCCCCAGGACUUCGUGCAGAUGAGGGCAGGAAACCCUUGAGGAAGGAACGGACCAGAACAGGCACCCUCUCCUCGCUGCCUGUCCUCCUGCAUCGAAGGUCCCCCCGCCCCGCUCCAGUCCAGAAAGCCUGGGGGAGGACAUGGGGGGGUGAGGGCUGGAGGCCACGGAGGAAGCCGCCGAGUUCUGACUCACCCCGUGCUCAGCGCUCAGCCCCGGGUGGGCAGGCCUGCGCGCGCGGUGAGUCACCGAGAGCCCGAAUGCUCUUCUGAGCACCGCCAAGGACACGGAUGCUCUUGCUGGCACCCUGGCACCUUCACACGUUCUCUCCUUCCCUGUCGAGCUGCCAGGAGACGAAGGCGGUAGGAACUGAGGGUUUUCAGUUUUUUAUAGCCCAAGACAGAAACUAUCUAAUGCUUUCUAUUCUUCCUGCAUCCCUUCUCAGUUCCUGGAAAUCACUGACAGAGAGUUGGACCGAGAGCCGCCUCUGAGGCAGCCUCGCUGAGGAGCCAUUCUAGGGAGGGGCAGGGGAGGGCCCGGCACACCUCGUGGAAUUUCCCAAAUGAAUCACCUGGCUCUUUAUUUUGACAGAAAAUACCCAAGAAGUAUGUAACUUUUUUAUUUUUACUUUUUGGCUUUUUUAGGGCCGCACCUGCAGCAUAUGGAAGUUCCCAGGCUAGGGGUCGAAUUGCAGCUGCAGCUGCCGGCCUACACCACAGCCACAGCCACACGGGAUCUGAGCCACAUCUGUGACCUACGCUGCAGCUCGUGGCAAUGCCGGAUCCUUAACCCACUGAGCGAGGCCAGGGAUCGAACCUGCAUCCUCGGGGUCAUGAUGUUGGGUUCUUAACCCACUGAGCCACAGUGGGAACUCCAGUUGCCAGGAAUUUAAAGACGAAUGAGCCUUUGUAAUAUCCUCACGCUACUCUGUGUUAACUUACAAGACGGAAGUUAACUGCAGUAACACUACUCUGUAUUAACUUCCCACAGGGGAAAGUCAGCUGCCCUUGAGCCUCUACUGUCUGUGCCACAGACCGUGGAGGAUGGACGUUUGGAAAAGCAAAGCUCCUGCUUUAGGAAGAUGAGAAAUGCAGUUUAUUCCACCACCAAGUACUUAUAUGAGGAAGAGCACUGGGAAGUUACAGAGAUGAGGAAGGCAGCUUCCAGGAGAUUAAAUCUAGUAGGAAAGAUAAGAUACAUACAUAAAUCAUAAGCGCAAAAUAACUAAAAACAGAGCUAUCAUAUGAUCCAGCAAUCCCAUUCCUGGGCAUAUAUCUGGAAAACCCUAAUUCAAAAUGAUACGUGCACCCCACUGUUCAUGGCAGCACUGUUUACAAUAGCCAAGACAUGGGAACAACCCAUGUUUCAGCAACAGAGGAAUGGAUAAAGAAAUGCAGUACAUACACACAGUGGAAUACGAGUCACGAAAAGGGAAUGAAAUGAUGCCACUUGCAGCAACACGGAGGGACCUAGAGACGAUCAUACUAAGUGAAGCCAGCCAGUCAGAGAAAGACAAAUAUCACCUGCUAUCACGUAUACGUGGAAUCUUAAAAAAAAAUGAUACACAUGAACUUAUUUACAAAACAGAAACCGACUCACAGAGAUAGAAAACAAACUUAUGGGAGUUCCCACUGCGGCUCAGUGGUAACAAACCCGACUAGGAACCAUGAGGUUGCGGGUUUGAUCCCUGACCUUGCUCAGCGGGUUAAGGAUCUGGUGUUGCUGUGAGCUGUGGUGUAGGGCGCAGACACGGCUCGGAUCCCCCAUUGCUGUGGCUCUGGCGUAGGCUGGCAGCUGUAGCUCCGACUGGACCCCUAGCCUGGGAACCUCCAUAUGCCAAGGGUGCAGCCCUAGAAAAGGCAAAAAAAAACCCCAAAAAAAAAAAAAAAAAAAAAAAAGGAGGAGAGACAUCAGCGAACCAGUGUUUCAGUUCAGGUGGGAGUAAUGACCUGAAGGAGGGCGGUGACAGCGGGGACAGGAAAGGAGACGUGUGCACAACGUCACUGAGGUGACUAAACAGAGCCGGCAUUUGUACUGGAUGUGAGGAGAUGACAGAGAGAGAGAGGGACAGGUCAAAAUGACUCUGGAAAACUGGGGACCACCAGAGAUGGGAGUGUUUUGUCCACCGCAGAAGACGGUUUUCAGCCAGAGUGAUGGAGGAAAUGACUUGGCAUUAAACGGCCUAUGGAGAUGGGCGAGGGAGAGACUUAGCAGACGGCUCCCCUCCUGAAGGUUGAGAGGCCAUGGAGAUGCCCAGAAUACCAUCACAAAUACUACAGGAGAGAUCAGGUGGAGAGAGAGAUCUGAGAUCAGCCACAGGGGGUGACAGUGGGAACCAUGGGACCCAGCAAAGGAGAGCUUUUUUUUUGUGUGUGUGUGUGUGUGUGUUUUUUUUAGGGCUGCACCCACGGCAUAUGGAAGGUCCCAGGCCAGGGGUUGAAUCGGAGCUGUAGCUGCCACCCUACACCACAGCCACAGCAACCAGGGAUCUGAGACGUGUCUGCAACUGACACCAUAGCUCAUGGCAACGCCGGAACCUUAGCCCAUUGAGCGAGGCCAGGGAUCGAACCUAUGUCCUCAUGAUUACUACGGGUUUCGUUACCUCUGAGCCACAAGAGGAACUCUGAGGAGAGCAUUCUGAAGGUUGGACCAACCAAAGACCUGCAUUCAGAGGAUGGAAGAAACAGAAACAAAACGGGGCAGAGCAGAAAGGAUGAGUGUGGAUUGAGUCCCCACCCCACGCUGUGCUCAGAGAUUCGCGCACACUGUUAUCCGUGAAGCAUUUUCCCCAUUUUACAGAUGAGGAAACUGACUCGGGUUUGUCCACCAAACAACCCGGAGGCCACGUGAGAAACCCAAGAUCAGGAGCUGCCACUGUGGUGCAAUGGAUCAGCAGCAUCUCUGAAGCACGGGGACACAGGUUCAAUCCCUGGGCAGGGAUCCAAGGAUCCGGAGUUGCUGCAGCUGAGGCACUGGUUACAACUGUGACUUGGAUCUGACCCUUGGCCAGAGAAAUCCACAUGCCAUGGGGCAGCCAAAAAAGAAAAAGAAAAAAAAAAAAAAAAAACCUGAGAUCAUUCUUUCCACAUCCAUCUCCAGCUCUCCCAGUCAACUGCAACACACCUGGUUAAUGCCCCCUGCUCAUCUUCCUUGACUCUAUUCUUUUGGUCCAACCUACUCCAGGCCCUCGGUUCUGAUGCACUAAGUUCCUGCCUCCAGGCCUCCCUCUCCAUGGUCUCUCCCGUCACCAGUCCAUCUCUUUCCCUACCGCCCAACUGGUGGAACACACAGAUCCAGUCCCCACAAAGCCUUCGAAAGCUUGCAAAGCCCUUGACGACACGGUUCUGCUAAUUGUAGGAGCACCUCAGGCCCCACCUGCAAGACUCCAUCCCCAGCCCUGAAGACCUUCCUGUGGUUCACAGAAUCUAGCCAUCCUCCCACCUCUCUACACACUCCCUCUCUUCCAAGACUGCCUCCUACUGCUGUUCAAGAGCAAUGCAGGCAUCAUAUCCAUCAUAUCCUCAGGGUGUCCUGGUCCUUCUGGGGGCCCAUUUUCUGUACUCCUCACUGCCCUGGGCAUCCCCCCACACACAGCUCAUCACAGCACUCAUCACACUGCAAUAUUCAACCCCCGCAUACAAAAAAUGUAACCCACACGACAGUCCCUCUCACUGUAUUAGCAGUAGUUUGGGGGCGGGGAUUUGCUUUCACACACUGCUGUCUAGCACUCAACAUUUCUGGGGAGAAUUAGUAAAACAAUCAAUUCAAAUCCAAGUCUGAUUCUGAGGUUCCCAUUCCUUCCAUUAAACUAUCAAGUCAGAGAAGAGAAAGAGAAACAGGAUGGCAUAGGAUGACAAAAAGGCAGAGGCUCUCUGUGAAAAAGCCACAGCUAACAUCAUACUUGUGGUGAAAGACUGGAUGCUUUCCUCCUACGAUUAGAAGCAAGAUGAGAAUAGCCGCUCUCACCGCUUCUCUGCACCAUUGUACUGGAUGUUCUAACCAGGGAAAUUAGGCAAAAGAAAGAAAUAAAAGGCAUCCAAGAUCAGAAAGGAAAAAGUAA
rnacentral:lncRNA from 1 species